GACGAACGCUGGCGGCGUGCUUAACACAUGCAAGUCGAACGGAAAGGCCCUGCUUUUGUGGGGUGCUCGAGUGGCGAACGGGUGAGUAACACGUGAGUAACCUGCCCUUGACUUUGGGGUGACUUCAGGAAACUGGGGCUAAUACCGGAUAGGAGCUCCUGCUGCAUGGUGGGGGUUGGAAAGUUUCGGCGGUUGGGGAUGGACUCGCGGCUUAUCAGCUUGUUGGUGGGGUAGUGGCUUACCAAGGCUUUGACGGGUAGCCGGCCUGAGAGGGUGACCGGCCACAUUGGGACUGAGAUACGGCCCAGACUCCUACGGGAGGCAGCAGUGGGGAAUAUUGCACAAUGGGCGGAAGCCUGAUGCAGCAACGCCGCGUGCGGGAUGACGGCCUUCGGGUUGUAAACCGCUUUCGCCUGUGACGAAGCGUGAGUGACGGUAAUGGGUAAAGAAGCACCGGCUAACUACGUG
rnacentral:rRNA from 1 species